CCUACGGGAGGCAGCAGUGGGGAAUCUUGCACAAUGGAGGAAACUCUGAUGCAGCGAUGCCGCGUGAGUGAAGAAGGCCUUUGGGUUGUAAAGCUCUUUUGUAGGGGAAGAUAAUGACUGUACCCUAAGAAUAAGGUCCGGCUAACUUCGUGCCAGCAGCCGCGGUAAUACGAAGGGACCUAGCGUAGUUCGGAAUUACUGGGCGUAAAGCGCGCGUAGGCCGUUGAGUUAGUUAAUUGUGAAAUCCCAAAGCUUAACUUUGGAACUGCAAUUAAAACUGCUCGACUAGAGUUUGAUAGAGGAAAGCGGAAUACAUAGUGUAGAGGUGAAAUUCGUAGAUAUUAUGUAGAACACCAGUUGCGAAGGCGGCUUUCUGGAUCAACACUGACGCUAAGGCGCGAAAGUAUGGGUAGCAAAGAGGAUUAGAUACCCUCGUAGUCCAUACCAUAAACGAUGAUUGCUAGAUGUUGGAAAUUUAUUUUCAGUAUCGCAGCUAACGCAUUAAGCAAUCCGCCUGGGGAGUACGACCGCAAGGUUAAAACUCAAAGGAAUUGACCGGNNGAGAGNGCGACGACGACGACGAGGAGAG
rnacentral:rRNA from 1 species